rnacentral:rRNA from 1 species
GAGCGGUAGAGAGAAGCUUGCUUCUCUUGAGAGCGGCGGACGGGUGAGUAAUGCCUAGGAAUCUGCCUGGUAGUGGGGGAUAACGUUCGGAAACGGACGCUAAUACCGCAUACGUCCUACGGGAGAAAGCAGGGGACCUUCGGGCCUUGCGCUAUCAGAUGAGCCUAGGUCGGAUUAGCUAGUUGGUGGGGUAAUGGCUCACCAAGGCGACGAUCCGUAACUGGUCUGAGAGGAUGAUCAGUCACACUGGAACUGAGACACGGUCCAGACUCCUACGGGAGGCAGCAGUGGGGAAUAUUGGACAAUGGGCGAAAGCCUGAUCCAGCCAUGCCGCGUGUGUGAAGAAGGUCUUCGGAUUGUAAAGCACUUUAAGUUGGGAGGAAGGGCAGUUACCUAAUACGUGAUUGUUUUGACGUUACCGACAGAAUAAGCACCGGCUAACUCUGUGCCAGCAGCCGCGGUAAUACAGAGGGUGCAAGCGUUAAUCGGAAUUACUGGGCGUAAAGCGCGCGUAGGUGGUUUGUUAAGUUGGAUGUGAAAUCCCCGGGCUCAACCUGGGAACUGCAUUCAAAACUGACUGACUAGAGUAUGGUAGAGGGUGGUGGAAUUUCCUGUGUAGCGGUGAAAUGCGUAGAUAUAGGAAGGAACACCAGUGGCGAAGGCGACCACCUGGACUGAUACUGACACUGAGGUGCGAAAGCGUGGGGAGCAAACAGGAUUAGAUACCCUGGUAGUCCACGCCGUAAACGAUGUCAACUAGCCGUUGGGAGCCUUGAGCUCUUAGUGGCGCAGCUAACGCAUUAAGUUGACCGCCUGGGGAGUACGGCCGCAAGGUUAAAACUCAAAUGAAUUGACGGGGGCCCGCACAAGCGGUGGAGCAUGUGGU